rnacentral:sRNA from 1 species
GAUGCCAGGGUCAAGGGGUCUGAGUCCACAUGAGCCAUAAGCGGGUGGAGGAUCCCGGGGCCCGCCCCGAUAUGGGCAUAAAAGUGGGAUGUAUAUCCUGCGGUAUACGAAUAUUGGGGAAGAGAGCGGGAGUGAGCAGCACGGAACAAUCCGUAGGCAUC